rnacentral:rRNA from 1 species
UGCCAGCAGCCGCGGUAAUACGAAGGGAACUAGCGUUGUUCGGAUUUACUGGGCGUAAAGAGCAUGUAGGCGGAUUGGUUAGUUGGAUGUGAAAUCCCAGAGCUCAACUCUGGAACUGCAUUCAAUACUGCCAGUCUAGAGUCUGUAAGGGGGUGGUGGAAUUCCGAGUGUAGAGGUGAAAUUCGUAGAUAUUCGGAGGAACACCAGUGGCGAAGGCGGCUAACUGGACUGAUACUGACGCUGAGGUGCGAAAGUGUGGGGAGCAAACAGGAUUAGAUA